AUUGAACGCUGGCGGCAGGCCUAAUACAUGCAAGUCGAGCGAGCGGCGGACGGGGGAGUAAUGCCUGGGAAUUGCCCAGUCGAGGGGGAUAACAGUUGGAAACGACUGCUAAUACCGCAUACGACUGGCUUGCUCAGGUGGGAUUAGAUAGUGGGUGAGGUAAUGGCUCACCAAGGCGACGAUCCCUGGCUGGUCUGAGAGGGGGAUCAGCCACACGGGAACUGGUACACGGUCCAGACUCCUACGGGAGGCAGCCGUGGGGAAUAUUGCAAAAUGGGGGAAAGCCUGAUGCAGCCAGGCCGCGUGUGUGAAGAAGGCUUUCGGGUUGUAAAGCACUUUCAUCGGGGAGGCGUUACUCGCAGAAGAAGCACCGGCUAACUCCGUGCCAGCAGCCGCGGUAAUAC
rnacentral:rRNA from 1 species